CCUACGGGUGGCAGCAGUGAGGAAUAUUGGUCAAUGGGCGCGAGUCUGAACCAGCCAAGUAGCGUGAAGGAUGACUGCCCUAUGGGUUGUAAACUUCUUUUAUAAAGGAAUAAAGUGAUGCACGUGUGCCAUUUUGUAUGUACUAUAUGAAUAAGGAUCGGCUAACUCCGUGCCAGCAGCCGCGGUAAUACGGAGGAUCCGAGCGUUAUCCGGAUUUAUUGGGUUUAAAGGGAGCGUAGAUGGGUUGUUAAGUCAGUUGUGAAAGUUUGCGGCUCAACCGUAAAAUUGCAAUUGAGACUGGAAGUCUUGAGUACAGUAGAGGUAGGCGGAAUUCGUGGUGUAGCGGUGAAAUGCUUAGAUAUCACGAAGAACUCCGAUUGCGAAGGCAGCUUACUGGACUGCAAAUGACACUGAGGCUCGAAAGUGUGGGUAUCAAACAGGAUUAGAUACCCCUGUAGUC
rnacentral:rRNA from 1 species